UGGGCUUUCCUUCCUGAGGGAUAUAGAC
rnacentral:piRNA from 1 species